rnacentral:tmRNA from 1 species
GGGGCUGCACCGGUUUCGACGUGGGUUCGGACGCGCAGCAGGGCAUGUCGAGGGUCAGAUCACCUCGUAAAUCCAGCUGAAACAAACUAACUGCGAACGACGAACGUUACGCACUCGCCGCUUAAACACCGGUGAGCCUCACAACAGUCGGCCGAUGGGCUGGGCCAGGGGCGCAAGCUCCCGGCUGUGAGGGAAUCCACAUUGGCUGGUCCCUGCCCGGGUGCCUUGGGUGGGGACGAGAAAAUAGGGCACUGGCAACCGGCAUAGCGUGCGCCUGCGCGAUGUCGGGGGCGAGAUCCAAAUCAGAGCGCUAAACAUGUAGAACUGUUCGUAGAAGGCUUGCGGACGCGGGUUCAAUUCCCGCCAGCUCCACCA